AACUGACCAGUCCGAAAUAUUGAAUGGCGCAGGCGAUCGCGAGCAAACAGCUAUUACGUCAUCACAUUUUCGGCGCUAAGCUUUAAUGCUUUGAGUUUGAGUGACCUUGAAAAUGAGACCGGCCGACCAUUAACGAGCAGUUCUUCUAUUUUCACAAGCAUCGGGUAGGCCUACAUUUAAAUAUUGCAAUCCGUUAAAAUGUGCAGGAUCGUGCUUCCUCCAUUUGUAUCAUACCCAACAUCAAUGAAUUUCAGGAGAAAAUACUUGUGAAACAGUCAAAUAGGUCUACUCUCUGAAUAACAUUUAGAUGAAAGCCCAGGAUUCAAUUCACGCCAACAGUUGACGGAACAGUCGCCGCGAGGUCCGGCCGACCUUGGACUCGCUUCUCGAGCGACGCCAGCUGAACACUGGGCGACCGUGGAAGGUGGAUGGCGCUCUGCCACUUCUCCGAGCUGGACAGCAGCUGAACGAGACCAAUUAUAUUUUACAUACAUGACAUACAGGAUAUUGGCAUGCAUACACUCAGAGAGAUUCAUUUGCGGGAGCACCUCUGGUUUGAUGGCAUCAAACAACUUAGAUUGUGCGACGCAUUGUCUUAGAAAUCGGCCGGACCAAGAUAUCUUUGGAAUUAUGGUAAGUUUUUAUUUUUGUAUAAUAUUUUUUCCCUCAUCAUACGU